UAUUAGCUCAUAUUUUUAAGCUAUCUUGUUAUGUCGUGACAAACCUUUGGGUUAACAGGACUGUUUAGAAUUACUAUUUCUAUUUUAUAGUUGAGGAGACCAGUGAAGAGAGGUCCAGUGGCUUGAUGAGACCCUGUUAGUUUAAUGGUGGAGCCAGAACUUUCCCUCUUGCCUUUCUUCUGACUCCAGCCAAGUCCAACUCACCCUAAUGACUCAGCUGAAGCAUCGGUGCUCAGCUUGCCCACAUGAGAGACGUCGGCGUGUGCCAGCCCUCCAUCGAAGAAGGAGCAGGUUCAGGACCUGGCACUGUGCAGCUGAGUGGCACUGCUCCCAGAACUCUCAUCCAAUAAAGAGCCAUUGUGGGAUCUGGACCCUUCAACAUACAGGACAAAUGACUCAAAUGAAAAGCACAAUGCACAAUUAAGCAAAAUGAUGGAUUUGAGGCACACAAACUCCUCUCCCUGGAGAUUCAUCAUACGGAACCGAGACGAUGUAGCCAGCAACAUGUCAAAGAUCUCCACCAUGCCCUCAACACAUUUUCCCUGGUUCCUAUGAAAACACAGGAAAAAGGAAUUAAAGAACAAGAAAGCUUCCAGAAGACAUGAUAAGGUUCACAUUCAUAAAAAUUUACUGGCUCCAAAUCUGUAACAAAAAACCACAGCCCAUUCUCUUCAUGGAGCAUGAACAUUCAUUUGAAUUCUAGAAGGCAAGAUGAAGAAAGAUUUUCCAUCAAUAAAACAUUUUCAUUUCAAA